rnacentral:snRNA from 1 species
GUGCUCGCUUUGGUAGCACAUAUACUGAAAUUGAAACAGUACAGAGAUUAGCCUGGCCUUUGCGCAAGGAUGACAUGCAAAUUCAUGAAGCAUUCCAUAUUUUU